rnacentral:rRNA from 1 species
GAUGAACGCUGACAGAAUGCUUAACACAUGCAAGUCAACUUGAACUUCGGUUUGGGUGGCGGACGGGUGAGUAACGCGUAAAGAACUUGCCUCACAGAUAGGGACAACAUUUGGAAACGAAUGCCAAUACCUAAUAUUAUGAUUUUAGGGCAUCCUAGGAUUAUGAAAGCUACAUGCGCUGUGAGAGAGCUUUGCGUCCCAUUAGCUAGUUGGAGAGGUAACGGCUCACCAAGGCGAUGAUGGGUAGCCGGCCUGAGAGGGUGAUCGGCCACAAGGGGACUGAGACACGGCCCUUACUCCUACGGGAGGCAGCAGUGGGGAAUAUUGGACAAUGGACCAAGAGUCUGAUCCAGCAAUUCUGUGUGCACGAUGAAGUUUUUCGGAAUGUAAAGUGCUUUCAGUUGGGAAGAAAAAAAUGACGGUACCAACAGAAGAAGUGACGGCUAAAUACGUGCCAGCAGCCGCGGUAAUACGUAUGUCACAAGCGUUAUCCGGAUUUAUUGGGCGUAAAGCGCGUCUAGGUGGUUAUAUAAGUCUGAUGUGAAAAUGCAGGGCUCAACUCUGUAUUGCGUUGGAAACUGUGUAACUAGAGUACUGGAGAGGUAAGCGGAACUACAAGUGUAGAGGUGAAAUUCGUAGAUAUUUGUAGGAAUGCCGAUGGGGAAGCCAGCUUACUGGACAGAUACUGACGCUGAAGCGCGAAAGCGUGGGUAGCAAACAGG